rnacentral:rRNA from 1 species
GUGGGGAAUAUUGCACAAUGGGGGAAACCCUGAUGCAGCGACGCCGCGUGAGCGAAGAAGUAUCUCGGUAUGUAAAGCUCUAUCAGCAGGGAAGAAAAAAAUGACGGUACCUGACUAAGAAGCCCCGGCUAACUACGUGCCAGCAGCCGCGGUAAUACGUAGGGGGCAAGCGUUAUCCGGAUUUACUGGGUGUAAAGGGAGCGCAGGCGGUGAGGCAAGUCUGAUGUGAAAACCCGGGGCUCAACUCCGGGACUGCAUUGGAAACUGUCUUACUUGAGUACCGGAGAGGUAAGUGGAAUUCCUAGUGUAGCGGUGAAAUGCGUAGAUAUUAGGAGGAACACCAGUGGCGAAGGCGGCUUACUGGACGGUAACUGACGCUGAGGCUCGAAAGCGUGGGGAGCAAACAGGAUUAGAUACCCCGGUAGUCC